UAUAUUGAAGUGUAAGAUGCACAUUAGUUUUUGAAACUAAAAGGAAUAGUUUAAUUCUGUUUAAUAUAA
rnacentral:tRNA from 1 species